CGCGUAGGCGGUUGGAUAAGUCAGCUGUGAAAACCACGAGCUCAACUUGUGGCCUGCAGUUGAAACUGUCUGGCUAGAGUGUGGGAGAGGGAAGUGGAUUCCUGGUGUAGCGGUGAAAUGCGUAGAUAUCAGGAGGAACACCGGUGGCGAAGGCGGCUUCCUGGACCACAACUGACGCUGAGGCGCGAAAGCUAGGGGAGCAAACA
rnacentral:rRNA from 1 species